AAACUGUUUUCCAGAGUGGCUGCACCAGCUUGCAUUUCCAUUUUUGUUAUUUAUUUUUGAAUGCCGCCCUAGAACUCCCUUCAUUUAUUAAAAGCCCUUCUAUUAUUAAAUGUCAGGUAUUAAAUUUCGGAUUUGCCCUCAACAUUUUGUUUCAUUUCAUUUUAUAUAGUCAUUCAGCAUCGCAAAUAUUAAAUCAUGAUCUUCAGAAGCUGGGGUUUGCAUCAUCAUAAUUUUCCCCUAAGAUUUCAAAUAUCUGAGCAUUCAGAUGCUGAAUAAUUUUUAUUUUAGUAAACACUGCAUUUAUAUACUUACAUACUCAUUGUGGUAGUAACAUUGGCUCCAUCACCCGAAAACCUAAUGUAAACUUGAUCGGCC